rnacentral:rRNA from 1 species
UGGGGAAUAUUGCACAAUGGGCGCAAGCCUGAUGCAGCCAUGCCGCGUGUGUGAAGAAGGCCUUCGGGUUGUAAAGCACUUUCAGCGGGGAGGAAGGCGUUAAGGUUAAUAACCUUGGCGAUUGACGUUACCCGCAGAAGAAGCACCGGCUAACUCCGUGCCAGCAGCCGCGGUAAUACGGAGGGUGCAAGCGUUAAUCGGAAUUACUGGGCGUAUAGCGCACGCAGGCGGUCUGUCAAGUCGGGUGUGAAAUCCCCGGGCUCAACCUGGGCACUGCCUCUGAUACUCGCGAGCUUGAGUCUCGUAGAGGGGGGUAGAAUUCCAGGUGUAGCGGUGAAAUGCGUAGAGAUCUGGAGGAAUACCGGUGGCGAAGGCGGCCCCCUGGACGAAGACUGACGCUCAGGUGCGAAAGCGUGGGGAGCAAACAGG